CCUACGGGAGGCAGCAGUGAGGAAUAUUGGUCAAUGGACGAGAGUCUGAACCAGCCAAGUAGCGUGAAGGAUGACUGCCCUAUGGGUUGUAAACUUCUUUUAUAUGGGAAUAAAACGUUCCACGUGUGGGAUUUUGUAUGUACCAUAUGAAUAAGGAUCGGCUAACUCCGUGCCAGCAGCCGCGGUAAUACGGAGGAUCCGAGCGUUAUCCGGAUUUAUUGGGUUUAAAGGGAGCGUAGGUGGACUGUUAAGUCAGUUGUGAAAGUUUGCGGCUCAACCGUAAAAUUGCAGUUGAAACUGGCAGUCUUGAGGACAGUAGAGGUGGGCGGAAUUCGUGGUGUAGCGGUGAAAUGCGUAGAUAUUAGGAGGAACACCAGUGGCGAAGGCGUCUUACUGGACCGAAACUGACGUUGAGGCUCGAAAGCGUGGGGAGCAAACAGGAUUAGAUACCCGUGUAGUC
rnacentral:rRNA from 1 species